UUAGUAUGUCUAUAUGUAUGUGAAUGCACAUGUGCCAUGACUCACACAUGUGUAAGUUUUCUUCUUAUGCCUUGCGGGUCCCAGGACUUGAACUCAGGUCCUCAGGUUUGGCAGCAAGUGCCUUUACCCACUGAACUAUCUUGCUGUCCCUGGCUUCUAACUCUCUAGGCAGCCAAGGAUGACUGUGAAUCUUCCCUGCCUCCUUCCAGAGGCCGAGAGUACAGUGCAUGUCACCUGGUCAGGUUUCAGCCAUGCAGGGACUGAACCCAGGGCCAGGCAAGCGCUCUGCCAUCUGAGCUACAUUCAGAGACCUGCAAGACUUCUUUCUCCUGGAGACACCCACCACUCAAAGAAAGCCAGCUUUACCUCUUUAAAUGGGGCGGUUCUCAGGUAUUCUGCUCUUCCUGGGGUGGGGGUAGGAAUCUCUCCUGGGCACUGUUGUGUCUUAAAUAACAGUCAUGCUCGUGCUAACACAUGGCAUCCUGGCUGAGCUCCUGUCAUCAGGCUCUGGGCUUUUUUUGUGUGUCUGUGUGAGUGUUAAGCAAAGCCUUCUUCUUAAUUAACGGGUCCAUCUUAGCAGCCCCCCCUCCUGUGCCGAUCUCCAAUCCUCCUCCAUAUCAUGGGACUUCCUCUGAACUCCCCAAGGAUCAAAGCCUCCUGUCAGCCAAGGAUUGUCACCAAAUCCUAAGGAUCAGGGGCUGAAUACAAGAAAAGUUCAAAGGCUCCUGGCUCAGAUCCUUGGACAAAUGUGCCCCUGGAACAUGCCUCUGAAGUCACUUUAAUCUCUAACUCCAGGGCUUGAGGCUAUGAUCUGACAGCUGCAACCCCACAAAUGCACCUCAGGUUUGGCAGAUGAUGGACCUUGGAAAAACCGGCAUUAAUUGAAUUGACUUCUUUCAAGGUAAGCAUGACAGAAGAACUGCUCCUCUUGUCUUGCUGGAGCUGGAAGGUGGAAAGGAGAGGAAGAGUGGAGACUCCAUACUAGGCACAGGCUCUUCUGAGAUGACAGCAGUAACCAAUGGAGCAGGAUGGAUGUGAAGAGCGAGGGCCGUGGACUCUUAGGAUCUGUGUGUUUCUACUUCCUGAAAAAGCUACACUGAAGUCCUGAAAUCCAGUGCCCCAGAAUGUGACCUUGUUUAGAAACAGGGUCACUGUAAUGGUCACAUCUUUCUAAAUAAGGCCAUAAUGCAGUAGGGUAGACCUAAUGAUGGCUGAUACUGCUUGUCAAUGCGACAGAAUCUACAGUCACUUAGUGUUGCUUGGUUGAUGAGUUGGAGAGGAUAAAGGAAGGUUCGUAGAAGACUGGGGGCUGUGGACUGUGCUACCACUCCAGACAGAGGACCUACUAAGGUCCAAUGGAUUCAGGAACCCCAGCAAUUCUCAUAACUGAGAAUGGGAGGCGUUCUCACGGCCUGGUUCCUGUCCUGGGAAACACAUGACCACCACACCCCAUUGAGAAGACUGUGACAAUCAGUCACAUAGGGGACAACACCUGAUGUCCUUCCACAUACAGAGGAGGUAUCCCUAACAUCUCAGACCAAGCCAAUAGAAAGCACUUGCCUCUAGAUCCCAACCCACCCAACAUGUUUAUAAAGUCCUAGCCACAAGGAAGAAAGUGCAGGAGUUAUUUCGCCAAAGACACCAAAGAUCACCUGAGUGUGCCUGUCUUAUUGUGCCGUAAUGCUCCAGGGAAGUUUUCUCUCCUGAAGCUUUCCUGCCACCUGCCACCAACUCUGGGGCAGUGGGAGCCACGGAAGAGGCCCAACAGCCCACCUUACUCUGGCUUUCCCUCAGAAAUCGAUAACUCUUUGCCAGCUCCAGUUGGUUCAGAGCCCCUCAGACCCCCUCGGACAGCGCCCAGUACACAGACCAGCAAAAGACAACUUAGAAACUUAAGUUACUUUUAAAUCCCAUGACAACUUUUAACUCCAAUGACACUACAAACAACGCCGGACACAAGAUUAAUUCUUAUUAAUUAAAUUAAUAAUUAAAUGCCUGGUCUUUAUUGAGUAUGAACUGUACAGACACUCGUGCCUUCCGGAUAACAAUGUUAAGAGGGAGGCUUCUACCACCAGAGCCUAACACUGGAUGUCAGCUAUGAUGGCACACUCCUGUGAUCCCACUCUGAGGCAGAUGCAGAUCAUCGUGAGUUCUAGGCUAGUUUGGGCUUUAUAGAGGUUCCGUGUGCUGGCUAGUUUUAUGUCAUUGCUUUAACAUAAAAGCAACAGUCAUCAGAGAGAAGGGAGCCUCAGUUGAGAAAAUGCCUCCAUAAGGUUGGGCUGUGCGCAAACCUGUGCAUUAUUUUAAUUAGUGACUGAUGGGGGAGGGGCCAUCCCUGGGCUGGUUAGUCCUGGCUUCCAUAAGAAAGCAGGCUGAGCAAGACAAGUAAGCAAGCCAAUAAGCAACUUUCAUGGCCUCUGCAUUAGCUCCUGCCCCAAGUUCUUGCCCUGACUUCCUUCAAUGAUGAACAGUGAUAUGGAAGUGUAAGUCAAAUAAACCCUUUCUUCAGGAUGUUGCUUUGGUCUUGGUGUUUUAUCACAGCAAUAAAGACUAAGACACCCCAGCUCAAAAAACAAAAGCUACACAUGGUGGUCUUCACAUGUAACCCCUGCACACAAGCGAUGGAAGCAGAGGAUCCUGUUGAAGGCCAUCCUUGGCUACAUAGUGCGUUUUGAGUCAGCCUGGGCUACAAAGGAUCUUGUCUCAAAACAAAACAAAACAAACUGCCAACCAACCAAAUAAACAAAAUCCAACAAAACGGUCCAAUGCUGUACUUGAAACAAAAAGUCACUGCAGGAUGAAAGCUUGCAUCUGAUUCAGAAGUUGACUCAACCAUCAAAUUAAUAAAACCAAACACCUACCCCUGUAGAAACUGCAGGCUUGCUUUAUUUUCAAAUAAAUGACCUGUUGUUAAGAUCUUUCCUUCCCUCCUCCUCCAGGAAGCAAGAUGGUUCAGUGGGUAAGGUACUUGCCUCUAAGCCUGAUGACUGAGUUUGAGCCCCAAGACUUACAUGUUAGCAGGAGAGAAUGAACUCCUGAAAGCUGUCCUAUAACCCCCCCCCCCACACACACACACACACACACGCUGUGGCAUGCACAGCCCCCACAGUAAAUACAUACUAGAAAAUAAUUGUGGGCUGGUGAGAUGGCUCAGUGGGUAAGAGCACCCGACUGCUCCUCCAAAGGUCCAGAGUUCAAAUCCCAGCAACCACAUGGUGGCUCACAACCAUCCACAACAAGAUCUGACGCCCUCUCCUGGAGUGUCUGAAGACAGCUACAGUGUACUUACAUAUAUUAAUAAAAUAAAUCUUUAAAAAAAAAAAAAAAAAAAGAAAA